rnacentral:rRNA from 1 species
AUGCGUUGUUGGGUAGGGGAGCGUUCUGUAAGCCUGCGAAGGUGUGCUGUGAGGCAUGCUGGAGGUAUCAGAAGUGCGAAUGCUGACAUAAGUAACGAUAAAGCGGGUGAAAAGCCCGCUCGCCGGAAGACCAAGGGUUCCUGUCCAACGUUAAUCGGGGCAGGGUGAGUCGACCCCUAAGGCGAGGCCGAAAGGCGUAGUCGAUGGGAAACAGGUUAAUAUUCCUGUACUUGGUGUUACUGCGAAGGGGGGACGGAGAAGGCUAUGUUGGCCGGGCGACGGUUGUCCCGGUUUAAGCGUGUAGGCUGGUUUUCCAGGCAAAUCCGGAAAAUCAAGGCUGAGGCGUGAUGACGAGGCACUACGGUGCUGAAGCAACAAAUGCCCUGCUUCCAGGAAAAGCCUCUAAGCAUCAGGUAACAUCAAAUCGUACCCCAAACCGACACAGGUGGUCAGGUAGAGAAUACCAAGGCGCUUGAGAGAACUCGGGUGAAGGAACUAGGCAAAAUGGUGCCGUAACUUCGGGAGAAGGCACGCUGAUAUGUAGGUGAAGCGACUUGCUCGUGGAGCUGAAAUCAGUCGAAGAUACCAGCUGGCUGCAACUGUUUAUUAAAAACACAGCACUGUGCAAACACGAAAGUGGACGUAUACGGUGUGACGCCUGCCCGGUGCCGGAAGGUUAAUUGAUGGGGU